CCUACGGGAGGCAGCAGUGAGGGAUAUUGCGCAAUGGGCGAAAGCCUGACGCAGCGACGCCGCGUGGGCGAGGAAGGCCUUCGGGUUGUAAAGCCCUUUUGGCAGGGAAGAGCAAGGACUGUACCUGCAGAACAAGUCACGGCUAACUACGUGCCAGCAGCCGCGGUAAAACGUAGGGGGCAAGCGUUACUCGGAAUUACUGGGCGUAAAGGGUGUGUAGGCGGCCGAGCAAGUCGAAGAUGAAAUCCCAGGGCUCAACCCUGGAAUUGUCUUCGAUCCUGCUUGGCUGGAGGGUAGUGGAGGAGAGCGAAAUUCCCGGUGGAGGGGUGAAAUGCGUAGAUAUCGGGAGGAACACCAGAGGCGAAGGCGGCUCUCUAUGCU
rnacentral:rRNA from 1 species